rnacentral:lncRNA from 1 species
UGACUGAAGACAUCUCAGGUGUAUUAUGUUAAUGAUAUCAGAAAUUCGGAGUUAGCUACUUCCAAUUUAAAUCGACGUGCUACGUACAUUUUCCAUUCCUUAUGAUCUUGUAAACGUCGAUCAUUGAACAGAAUUAUCAAGGCGACAGACGUACUGGAUUUUCAAUUACGGUGGAACUUGACCGGAACAAUGUUGCAUGCAAGAUGUGGAGAUCUAGACCCUCACUGGCAGAAUACGAGUACAACCCUACAAUCAUUGAUGGUCUUGGGUUGUUGCAUCCAUCAAUCAUGAGUCAUGACUAAAUUUGCCCCAUCUGCAUUCAGAAGGUGAUAGGGUAGAAUCCCUAUCGGAUGUAAACUAACUAG